UGUUCUUCAUGUAAUUUAAAUUGAGUUUGGUUUAGCUAAUUACGGCAGAAACGAAUGGAUCUGGAUAAACUAUGUCCAUCAAUUGAUAUCUUUUCUCCUGAUCCUUGGUGAAGAAGCGAGCACUCAGCCAGUUUGCAUGUGUGCACCCGGACCCCAAUAUGCGCAAGCAACUUUGUAACAUAUUUCGGAGUAUGUAACAUUAAUUGCGAUGCGACUAGGUUAGGAGUCGAACUCUUUGUUUUAUACGAUGGGCCAUGCCCAGAAAACAGUUCAAAAUAAGUAAAUAAAUACUAUAUUCGGAAGAAA